AACGCGAAGAACCUUACCCAGGCUCGAAAUAUAGUAGACGAUAUCAGAGAUGAUAUUUUCCGCAAGGACUAUUACAUAGGUGCUGCAUGGCUGUCGUCAGCUCGUGCCGUGAGGUGUUGGGUUAAGUCCCGCAACGAGCGCAACCCUUAUCAUUAGUUGCCAACAUUUAAGGUGGGGACUCUAAUGAGACUGCCUGGGUUAACCAGGAGGAAGGUGAGGAUGACGUCAAGUCCGCAUGGCCUUUAUGUCUGGGGCUACACACGUGCUACAAUGGUCGGUACAGAAGGCAGCAAGACCGUAAGGUGGAGCAAAUCCGUAAAGCCGAUCACAGUUCAGAUUGUAGUCUGCAACUCGACUACAUGAAGUUGGAAUUGCUAGUAAUGACGUGUCAGCAACAACGUCGUGAAUACGUUCCCGGGCCUUGUA
rnacentral:rRNA from 1 species